rnacentral:rRNA from 1 species
GACGAACGCUGGCGGCGUGCUUAACACAUGCAAGUCGAGCGGAAAGGCCCUUUCGGGGGUACUCGAGCGGCGAACGGGUGAGUAACACGUGAGUAAUCUGCCCUUCACUUGGGUAUAACCUCCGGAAACGGUGGCUAAUACCCGAUACGACCAUUCCUCGCUUGGGGUGGUGGUGGAAAGUUUUUCGGUGGGGGAUGUGCUCGCGGCCUAUCAGCUUGUUGGUGGGGUAAUGGCCUACCAAGGCUUCGACGGGUAGCCGGCCUGAGAGGGUGACCGGCCACACUGGGACUGAGACACGGCCCAGACUCCUACGGGAGGCAGCAGUGGGGAAUAUUGGACAAUGGGCUGAAGCCUGAUCCAGCAACGCCGCGUGAGGGAUGACGGCCUUCGGGUUGUAAACCUCUUUCACCUGUGACGAAGCGAAAGUGACGGUAGCAGGAGAAGAAGCACCGGCCAACUACGUG